ACUCCUACGGGAGGCAGCAGUAGGGAAUAUUGGACAAUGGGCGCAAGCCUGAUCCAGCCAUGCCGCGUGAGUGAAGAAGGCCCUCGGGUUGUAAAGCUCUUUUGUUGGGGAAGAAAAGCCUUGGGUUAAUACCCCGGGUCCUGACGGUACCCCAAAGAAUAAGCACCGGCUAACUUCGUGCCAGCAGCCGCGGUAAUACGAAGGGUGCAAGCGUUACUCGGAAUUACUGGGCGUAAAGCGUGCGUAGGUGGUUCGUUAAGUCUGAUGUGAAAGCCCUGGGCUCAACCUGGGAAUUGCAUUGGAUACUGGCGGGCUAGAGUGCGGUAGAGGGUAGUGGAAUUCCCGGUGUAGCAGUGAAAUGCGUAGAGAUCGGGAGGAACAUCUGUGGCGAAGGCGACUGCCUGGACCAGCACUGACACUGAGGCACGAAAAGCGUGGGGAGCAAACAGGAUUAGAUACCCUGGCAGGCUCU
rnacentral:rRNA from 1 species